GUUGGACUAAGUUGGAUGCGACGCAGGCCCGAGGAGGUGGCUUUAGUCUCAACUUGGAAGGCUUUGGCGUUAAGAGCGCGGACGCUAGCAGCUCGCCAGAGAAUUGAAAACCCCAAAUCUUUCCUUCCCUCCCUUCCUCUCUCGUGCCCUCCUUUCAGCCCUCCCUGCCCUUUAUCCAUAUUUUCUUGAAAUUCUUCCCCAGUUGCAUUUCCUGCAUUCUCCUUUCUUUGUAUCUGGUAUCUCCCUUUUUCAGUCUCCUGUUUUGUUUCUUAGCAUCCCUUCUCUCUCGCUCUGAUCCUUUUCUGCCUCCUUUAUGUGUCCAGAUUUAUCAUUUCGUUUUGAAAACACAAUGUUUCAUAUGUAAUUAAUCUACCAGCAGGAGGUCAGGGACACCCUGACUAAAAUAACUGCCUGGGUCAUCAGAGAACAAGUUCCUCAGGUGUCAGUGAAAGGUAAAAUUAUAAUGAUAAUAAUAAUAGUAAUAAAAAUAGAUAUAAAUCUGUGUCUCAGUAAUCAUAAUGGUUUCUUAUUCUGAAUUGUAUCAGCUCAAACUGAGUUCGUUUUCCUUAAAGAUAUAAUCUUCCUGGAAAUUCUUUCGAAUUAAAGCAAUAUGAAAAAAUUUUUCACUUACGGUGGUAUUUUAGCAGAGCUUAACAGAAUUUAGAAGUCACAAUAAGUAAUUUAAAGAAACUUAAACAGUGCUUUUUCCUUUAAUGACAGUUUGGAAAGUGUAAAAAAUUCCCAAAGCACCCCUGCCCCACACAAAGAUUGAUCAAUUCUGAAAGAAAUAUCACGUCCUGUAUUUUGCACAUGCCAAGCAAAUUCACAACUUGAGUUGUUGGGUUGUUUGCUUGGCCAGAUCACCUAUUACUUAGCAGGUCAAAACUACCAAAAGGGCCAUUUGGACAUCAACCUAAGGGCUCAGAGUGACCUGUACUGUGUUCUUUUUUCCUUUGUAAAGAGAAAUGGGACCAGAAACGGUGACCUUCUGAACCCACCCACUCUGCACCCUGCAUUGAGACCCACUUCCAGCCCUCCUGGAUGACUCGAAAUUAAUGCUCACUGAUAGCAAAGUUGGAAAAGCAAUGUGGAAUUUCUCUCCUCGUCGUAGAAAAGGCAGUGUGCUCAUGAUUGUUAUGCUCACGUCGUAUAAAUUAGAAGGUGGAUACGUUCAAAACCUCAACCAGUUCCUGAGGCAAGACAUGUGAAAUGGCAACAACUAAAAGGAUGUGAAGACGAAAGUGGAGAGUGAUUAAGACACACUGUAAGAUACAUCCUGCAUCAAGCACAAUGAAUGAUCUCCAAAAUCUCUGAUGCCAAAGCCAUAUCCUAUUGUCCAGAUUAAGGGUUACCCUUGCUUGUGAAGACCCAUGGAAGGGUAGGAUCCAGGACCCCUGGGUCAGAGCCACUGUUUUGCUGGGAAGGGACAUGUUUUAAGUGCAGCCAGGAGGGCCACUGGAAGGACAAAUGCCCUAUAUUUGGGGAAAGUCCACUAGGACCCUGUCCAAUAUGCAAAGAAAAGGCCACUGGAAGCAGGGCUGCCCCAGGUCCCAAAGAGGGCUUGGGGCUCCCAAACCAAUGAUGGCUGAGAUGACUGAAGACUGAUGGGGCCCAGGACCCUCCCUGGCUCCCAAAGGACACCUGGUCAUUUCUCUGAAGGAACCUUGGUUAACCCUUGACGUGGCAGGCAGGAAAGUUAUUUUCUUAUUAAAUUUGGGGGCUGUCUACACUGUGCUGACUAAUUUCCCUGGACCCUUGUCCUCCCAAUCCUGUGUACUAGGGGAUCAAUAGAAGGCCCCAAACCACUUGCUCACCAGGAAAUUUACUUGAAAGCGUUUAAAUAAUGCUCAGGGUCCUGACUGGGAAAUGAACAUCAUGGAAGAGGUUUAAAUCAAAGAAAGAAAGAGUGAGGUCCUGACCCCCUGGUGCAGGUCUCCUCCACUUAAAAAAAGUCAGGAUGACAAGAUGCCAUCUUAUUGGUUACCUAGCAUCACCACCUUCAUAGGUACCAUGUACUAAUACAAUGGGAGGGAUAUGACAGGAUGAUAAUGAUGAUGGUGGUGUUGAUAUGAUGAUGUUGAGAAUUGUGAUCACUCAGCUUCGUGGUUGUUCCAUCCUUCUAUCAGAUCUCCUGUCUGAUGAUGUUCCAAAGUUUAGAAACUCAGUGUUUGAUGAUACUCCUUAAGCCUCCACAAUGUGAAAUUUAUAGAUAUCAUGACCUAGAGUCACUUAAAACUUGAUUCUAGUGUGUUACAGGUUCACUUUACAUUAAACAAGUUUUUAAUGUGUCAAUCUGGAAAUUUAAUGAUCACUUAUAAACUUGCUCCCUUCCUAAAAAUGUAUUUUGAGACCAAAACAAAUAAAUUAAAAAUUUUAAGGAAAUAACCCUUUUAAGUGGGAAAUUAUUUAAACUUGUUCUUGUAAUUUUAUAUCAGCAUUUAAUUAAAUAUUUUAGUUUGGUUCUGGAAUGAAAGCUAUAGCUUCAUUUUAAUAAUGGAGGAGAACACUAGGGUAGCUAAAAAAAUGAAUAUUGCCUAUAUUAAGUUUUUUGAAUUAAUUAAAUACAAAGUCUUGUUUAGUUAUUUGACUUUGAAAUACAGGGUAAGAAUUUUAAAAUUUCCAUUCAAUUUUUUAAUGAUGCUUUUCUUAUUUUGAUAUAAAUUUUUCCCAUCUCUGAACACACAUAUUUUGCCUACUCUGGGCUAAUUCUGAGUGGUAGGGAGAGUUAACCUAAAAUUAAAAGUAGGUUUCAAGCAAUCUACAAAUUAGGUGAUUCAAGCACAGACGGUAUUAGUACUACUUUGGUAGUGAUGUGCUGCAGGAAAAUAUGAUGAGAGGAAUAGCAGUUAUUGAGAGCUAAUUAACUAAAUCUGGGUGGCAAUGUGCUCCUGAGAGGUUUUUUUUUUUAAGGUCCUUCCAUUGGUAGAGUAAACAGAGAUGACCCCAGUAUUAAUGAGAACAUUGGCAUAUGAAGAAUAACCACAUGCUACAUCUCUAUCUCAUUCAUUGCUUGAAUCGGUGGCUAUUUGGUUUCAAAGCCUGGAUUCUUUUCCUUUCUGAAGCCCCAUCUGAUUCUCUUUCUCUUGGUUGAUAGGGACCCCCUUCCUGAUUGGAGGAAGACGAUUUCUAAGGCAAAAGAACGUGGGUGGCUGUACUCCUCUGCUAGGACCUACAUCAGAGUUAAUGUAAAAGCUUCACAUGUGAGAUAAAUGCACUCCAAGACUUCUCACAAGGAGCUCUUUGGAGCUUCAGAUGUGAAAUGGAUCAUUCCUCAAUCUGUAAUAGACCCUUCUGUGAAGCUCUUCAAUCAAACCUGAGAAUAUAAGUUCUUUUCUGGAGCAUAGGAAGACUGUCAAUCAAGGUGUGACCUUACACGCUGUCUGUGUGUAAUACCUGGAGACAACAAGCUGUAGAAGGAAUGUCGUAUGCACCUUUGAUUUCUUCCCAUUUGUCGUUUUCUUCCUGAGAACCUUCAGGCGUUUUGUAGCAUCCUAAACAGAAGGAUAUUGAAGGGAGCUGAUUCUGCUUUGAUCCUUGUGCUUGUUGUCAAAGCGCUUGGGAUUGAAGAGACUGUUGGCUACAAUUGACUGUGACAAUUAGGAGAUGAUCAGAGCCCUAGAGUGGAGCACUUAAAGGGUUUGCAUUUAAAACACUCUUGGAGCACUAAUUGUAUAAAAUUCUGGUAACUGCACAUUCUCUUUUUAGAGAGGUAAUGAGUGAAUGAAUGAAAAGGCAGGGAUUAUUGGCCAUUCUAAGGGGGGAUUGUCAGAACAUUUCUACUUGACUGAAAUUCUUUUGGAAGGAACAAAGGACUGAAUGAUACGAUGAGGACAUACUAUCUUUGUGAAGCUACAUCUUUCCUUUUGUGGCAGUAUUGUGACGACACAUACAUAUACAUUUGUUACCGACCCUCCUGAGACGGUCGCCAUCAAGGUUCCUUCUGCCCGGAGUCAUUGGAACCAACAGAAUCAGAGGCUCAGCGUCUCUGCACACGGCCCCCACCCGCACUCACCCCCACCGCCGCCGCCGUGGACUGAGUGUUGUGCGCCGUGCAGCACCUCUGCCGGAGGCCCGUCAGCUGAGGUGUUGGGCGCAGCCGUUUCUGAAGGGCCGGGUGCGAGGCCUCUGCAUACAGACCCCUGUGAACCAGUGAAACUAGACUGAGCACAGAGGAAAAGAAAAAGAAAGAGAACGGAAAGGGAAAAUGUGAGUACAGAGAAAGUGGCACUGAUUUCCAUCACAAAAAGAGAUUCUACAAAGCUCCAGAGGAAAGUCACACCACAGCAUAAGCUGAUCCUGGGUAAAGGAUAUUCAUGUGAAAUUAAGAGACAAAGUAUUUCAUCGGGAUUAAAGGAAAGCCAUUAAAAGGAACGAUAAAUUGUGAAAACUGGGCAUGACUGCUUAGUCAGGCGUGUACUUCUAAGAUCAGAGACUAUGUGCCUGAUCUUAGUAAACACAGAGGAAAACCAGCCUUGCCUAAUUCAACGAUACCCUGGGUGACACUUUUGGGCUUUGCAUAAAAUCUCAGAAGUUCAUUGAUACAAAGAUGUCGGCAUUCAUCAUGGUUGAUGCUUAGAGUUUAAUCUGAAAGUUAAAAUGGGCACAAAAUCAAAAUAAAAA